rnacentral:rRNA from 1 species
CAAAAUGACUCUCGGCAAUGGAUAUCUCGGCUCUUGCAUCGAUGAAGAACGUAGUGAAAUGCGAUACUUGGUGUGAAUUGCAGAAUCUCGUGAACCAUUGAGUCUUUGAACGCAAGUUGUGCCCGAGGCUUCUGGCCGAGGGCACGCCUGCUUGGGAGUCAUG